rnacentral:lncRNA from 1 species
UCCACCCGCCUGUAAUCAGGGUCUGGGUGCGCGAGCGUUUGUGCUCUGCUGGCAGCCUGUGUGGGGUGACCGCCCCGCUAGCGGGGUGUGGGUCGAGGUGCCCCGGACUGGGAGAGAAGGAGCCUCCCUCGGCCGUAGGGAUGGGGGCUGCCCUGUAAGUCAGGGAGCAUCUGUGUCCCGGAGUCCCAGGCCCUUUUCAAUGGCGGCAGUGGCCGGGGGUCCCCUGUAAGCAGGGAAGCUGACUCUUUGGCUGCUGCUUUUUGUGUGCCCAGCCCCAUUUGCCCAGUCUGCCCGCCUCUGUGAUCCCCCGCAGCACUGGCUGGAAGUCCGCCGCGUGUCAGUGAGGAGCUGCUGCAGAAGGAAGAAGAAGAAGCGGCGUGGGACCUGGGAGGCAGGAGCAAGCAAGAAGAGGAAGCGGAAGCGUGCAGAUGCGGGGGGGAAGGAGAGAGGCUCCCUGGGCAAAGCACCUGUCCCGUUAGCAGGGGCACAGUCACGUUUGAGUUGAGAGCUGCCGGCGCCUUUGGUGACCAGGCUGGCGUUGUGCUGGGCGACCUCCCCGUAAGCGGGGCUCGGGUCUUUGCUGUAGUUGGCCUUUUGCCUUGCUGCUCCUUUGGCUGCCUGGGG